rnacentral:tRNA from 1 species
ACCAUCAUGGUGUAACGGCUAACAUGAUCGUCUCUCACACGAUAGCUCGCGGUUCGAUUCCGCGUGAUGGUG